rnacentral:lncRNA from 1 species
ACCUGCAUCUCUUACCACAUUGCAGAUCUUCUGAGGAAGAGACCUUUACCGAAAUGCUUCAUGCUAGGGACACUUGGGGCAACGUUGUUCACUUGGAGAGAUGCCCGAGAUCAUGGACUAUUAGUGAAAGAUUCCCUUAGCCAAAUUGAUCAAGAAGAGGGUUAAGACAAUCAAGUUCUCAUUCAAGUUAAUUUCUCCUUACCUAAAAUGCGAGAAAACAAGUUCAUAAUGCUAAGCAGUGGGUGAGAGCAAUAGUGGCAAAAUUGAAGGAGGAACGACGUUGUCAAGCUAAAAAAAAGAAGGCAUCAAAAAGCUGGUGAUUCAGAAGAAAGAGUAUGUUGUUGAACAAAGGGCGAGCUACAGAGUUCGAAGAGAGGCCUAAGAUCAUGGACUAUUAGUGAAAGAUUCCCUUAGCCAAAUUGAUCAAGAAGAGGGUUAAGACAAUCAAGUUGUCAUUCAAGUUAAUUUCUCCUUACCUAAACUGCGAGAAAACAAGUUCAUAAUGCUAAGCGGCGGGUGAGAGCAUUAGUGGCAAAAUUGAAGGAGGAACGACGUUGUCGAGCUAAAAAAAAAAGAAGGCAUCAAAAAGCUGGUGAUUCAGAAGAAAGAGUAUGUUGUUGAACAAAGGGCGAGCUACAAAGUUCGAAGAGAGGCCUAAGAUCAUGGACCAUUAACGAAAGAUUUCCCUUAGCCAGAUUGAUCACAAAGAGGGUUAAUAUAAUCAAGUUGCCAUCCAAGUAAAUUUCUCCUGACCCAAAUGGUGAAAAGUAAUUUCACAAUGCUGAACAAUGUGUGAAAGCAGCAGUGGCCAAACUGAAGAAGGAAGGUUAGCAUCAUGCUAAAAAGGAGACAUCAAGAAUUGAUAAUUCAAAUGAAGGAACAUGUUGUUGAACAAGGGCNAAUUGAAAGUGAAGCCUCUCACAACUAGCUUC